CCUUAUUGCUUUCUACAACCCCCUGAAGGGAGGUUCUGGUGAAGUGAGUGGUCAGCUUCUUCUCCCAGCUAACAGCUAUAAGAUGAGAGGAAAUGACCUCAAGUUGCACCAGGGAGGUACAGGUUACUAGGAAAUCAGGAAAUAUUUCUCUGAAGGAGUGGUCAGGCACUGGAAUGGGCUGCCCAGGGAGGUGAUUGAGUCACCAGCCCUGGAGGUGCUCAAGAAACGUUCAGAUAUUGCACUGAGGGACACAAUUUAGUGGAGAAAUAUUGGUGGUAGGUGGAUGGUUGGACUGGGUGAUCUUGAAGAUCUUUUCCAACCUUGGUGAUUCUAUGAUUCUAUGAUCCUCCAUGACGACAGUGGUGUGGGGCUACUUCCAAGGUGACACUGGGUUGGAAGUCCUCCAAGCUGACACUGAGCAGUUUAUGAUCUCCAAGGCUCAGGAACCACUCAAGGCUUGGCAGAAACGUGAGUUACUCCACCAAAAGGAGAGCCCUGAAUUUGAUCCAUCAACUACAGCCAAGAACCCUUCCUUCAGAUCUGAUAAAGUCGUCAUUUUGAUGAAAAGAAGUGGAAAGAGGGGUGGAGAUCUCACCCUGAGAACAGAAUCACCAGCUUUCUAACACGAGGUUGAAACCACAGAUAACUCAGAAUUUGUUAAUGACUGCUUAUAAGGGAAAUGACUGUAGCAUUCACUUGUAGCAUUCAACUCCUUGUUUUGUUCUUUCUUUCUUUUAUUUUUUUCCUGGGAGUUGUCAUGUUCACCUGCAUUGCUAUACGGGAGCAAGAAGAAAUGAUUCAGAAGUUAAACACUGCUGUGAAGAGACCAUCAGCCUCACCAGCAUGUGCAAGCUCACAACUCCAGAAGGACCUUGCCGAGGAUGACUCCACCAGCACAAUCCACCAAUCUAUCACCUCCCAGAAUCCCACAUGAGAAGUGAGAUAUCCAGCCUCCCCAGCUGCUGAAUACAGGGAGAGCCUGCAAUAGAGCAGAGCAGCAGGGCAAACUACACAGAUGGCAGAGAGACUACUGAUCUCCCAACGUUCCUUCCAGUAUGGAUGCCUAGGACCUUCUCACUCUGGUAAAUUCAUGCCCAUCAUUUCCAGACUUUGCAGAGCUCCUUCCAGGGGAUGUUCCGGCAGUGAAGAGAUGCUCUGGACCCUCACUCUGCUGGAUUUAUUACCCAAGAGUACCAUGGUAUCCUGCUCUGUUGAGAACCCAAAUCUCUCAGCCCAAAUUUGGGAUGAACAGGGGAAGAAUCAAAGGCCAGGACAUGGCAAACGGAGGGCAACACAAUGACUGCGAGCCGUGACCCCAGAGGAAGCUCAUGGGGUUGAACCACGGCAGGAGGAAGCACUGUAAACCAUGGAGAAUGAAGAUGUCAAGGGCAGGAAAAGAGGGAGACUCAGCAGAGAGAUGAAGGGUUCUCAUCAGGUAUUCACAGAGAAUAGCAAAGGAAAUCAGCAUCCUGGGAAAUGGCUUCCAUCCAUCAGCCAGCUGCCAAGGAGAGCACUGCAGAACCAGGACUACCCUUUGGGUAAAGCAAAUAUUUUUAUUUGGGGUCCAUGGUAGCCAUGAGCUGCAUUUCAAUGGAAUCUACUGGCCCAACCUUAAAAAUGAACUUGUAAAAUACAGAGCAAAGUAGCUGGUUACGGCUUAAAGAGCGAGAAAGUCUUCCACCUUCCUACUAAAUCACUCCACGGAUUCAUGGGUUCCUCAUCCUUUCAGCCUGUAGUCCCCAGCUACCAGAAUCUCAAGUGUUUUUUGGAAAGGUGCUGGAGAUGUGUUUACAUCUUUCUGCAAUAGACUCUGAUGACAAAUGUCCCUCUUAUUUUUUUUUUUUUUUUUUAAUGAAUUAUUUGGUGUUGAAAGCUUGGCCUUUUUGGCUGCUUUACCAUCA
ensembl:lncRNA